UUCUGAAAUAAGUACGAAACAAGCGUUAGAAAUCUUCGAUUGCAGAAACUACAGCAAUAGCUAGCAUACAACUAUCAGUCUGACAAGUAUUCCAGUUGAAGCAAGUGAUGGAAGAAAGAAAACUUUAGUACAAUGGGUGGUUGUAUGAAUAGGAUGUUGGUUGGAAAAUUUUCCUGGUGAUGCCCACAAGUUUUCCCUUGGUCCCGAGGAAUCAAAUCUUGUUUGGAGCAUGUCAGGUACUGAAAAGGUAGACAAGGGAGGUGUUGACAACAACAUAAAGUAAAAGUGUGUUUUAUUUUCGUGGAUCAUUGGAUACACAUGUACAGUAGAUAGGAAAUGUCAGGCUUCAACUUCUGUUCUAGAUUAGACAUCUGUACAGCUGGAAGGCAUGUACUGAAGUAUUCUGCUUCAAGCCUCUGAAAAGGAGACGCAGCGCUAACAUGGAAAGGAGAUCUGGAGACAUAAAUGAAGCAGGCGCAAUCCUAACGUCCGGAAAGUGGCAACUGAAUUUGUUGAGUUCCAUCAAGAGAUUAGGAGGGACCAUUGGUGCAGCUCCUUUGCUGAAGAAAGGUAUCAUCCAAUCAGUGAGCAGAUUUGGACUGGCUGGAGAGAAGACAGUGCUGAUCAAGAAAUUUGGACUUGGCUUCCCCAUUUGCCUUGCGAUUUUCUUUCAGGUUGGACUUUUAUGAGAGUAUAUGCUCUGAAUUUGGGGGGGGAAAAUCAAGGACAACAACCAUGUACAGAAGAAAGCAGAUAGUCGUCGUAGCGGGUAAGAUGCCAAAUUCUCAGCGCAUAAAGUGAUUCCUAAACGCUUUUGAUGGUACAUCCCUGAACCUGGGAUCUUCUUGCACCCGUUUUCAUGCAUCACAUCAAAGAAAGGGGAAUCAAAAGUUUUGUUUUGGAUCCAGAAUCAUCACCAAGCCGUGAACAGAAUUAGCAAGGAUAUCCUUCUUGAAAUAAACCAGCAAGGAUGUCAACAAAGUGGAUUCUGAGAAAGAAAGGGGAGCGUAGGAAGCAAUCUGAUUUCCCAAUUCCCCCUCCAUCACCAGACAGAAAAACUUGGAGGAGCGUACAAGGAAGACACGCAAGAAGCUCUGCAAAUUCAGAGGUAAACAUCACAAGAGGAUAGGA